GUUUCCGUAGUGUAGUGGCUAUCAUGUUUGCCUAACACGCAAUAGGUCCUCAGUUCAAAACUGGCGGAAACA
rnacentral:tRNA from 1 species